UACAGGGGAUGCGAGUGUUAUCCGGAAUUAUUGGGCGUAAAGCGUUUGUAGGUUGAUUGCUUAGUCUAUUGUAAAAUUUUUGAGCUUAACUCAAAGCAAGCAAAAGAAACAAGCCAUCUAGAGUUUGAUAAAAGUAAAGGGAAUUUCCAGUGGAGCGGUGAAAUGCGUAGAUAUUGGAAGGAACGCCGAAGGCGAAAGCACUUUGCUAGGUCAAAACUGACACUGAGAGACGAAAGCUAGGGGAGCAAACGGG
rnacentral:rRNA from 1 species